AUGAUGCAGACACCAAGGAAAGCACAGCAGAGGGAAGGAAAUAAACGGGUCCUUGACAUAUUGAGUUGUAGGAUCAAGCUUCACCUGAAGCCAGUCAGCCUGUGGACUUCUCAUUCAUGACUUCUGGGUUGGUGGGCACAUGGAGGUACCUGGAGAGUGGCUCAUCCAGAGAGGGCAUGGAAGCUCCAUACCCCUUCCCACAUACUGUGCCCUAUGCAUCUCUUCCAUCUGGAUGUUCCUUUCUUUCCCUGAGCCAUUCCAAAAAGUUGAAACAGGAAAGAGAACUUAAGACUUCUGAACUACAAGAACAUUACCCAGACUGGGUCAGAAAGAGGCCUGGGC